rnacentral:rRNA from 1 species
ACGGUAUUUAACCAGAAAGCCACGGCUAACUACGUGCCAGCAGCCGCGGUAAUACGUAGGUGGCAAGCGUUAUCGGAUUUAUUGGGCGUAAAGCGAGCGCAGGCGGUCUUUUAAGUCUAAUGUGAAAGCCUUCGGCUCAACCGAAGAAGUGCAUUGGAAACUGGGAGACUUGAGUGCAGAAGAGGACAGUGGAACUCCAUGUGUAGCGGUGAAAUGCGUAGAUAUAUGGAAGAACACCAGUGGCGAAGGCGGCUGUCUGGUCUGCAACUGACGCUGAGGCUCGAAAGCAUGGGUAGCGAACAGGAUUAGAUACCCUGGUAGUCCAUGCCGUAAACGAUGAUUACUAAGUGUUGGAGGGUUUCCGCCCUUCAGUGCUGCAGCUAACGCAUUAAGUAAUCCGCCUGGGGAGUACGACCGCAAGGUUGAAACUCAAA